AUGGCUGUGCCUCAAUGCCACCGCCAAGGCUGCAGAAUACUGACAAUUCCGCCAGCCUUGGCGCGGGUUCCUCCACAGGGUGCCGGGAGCCCGCCACCUUCCCUCAGCUCGCCUCAGCCCGCGCCCUGCUCUGGCCUGGCCGUUAACAGCCGCCAUGGCGGCAGCACCGCCUGGGACCGUCGGGAAGCCGGCUGGAACCGGCUGCAACCAGCACCAGGCUGCCCGGCUGCAUCCUCCAUCUUGUCUCGCUCUGUCCCCAGUGCCCGGGCGUUCUGGUUUUCAGCGCUCAAAGCCUUUGCUUAUUUGGUUUUCUUGUCCUCCUGUGACCUCUGCAGGACUAAAGCAUUCCCCCUCUGGUUUCACAGUCCUCCUCCUCCCCAACGAGCCCGUAUUGGCAAGAUAUUGCCUUUGGCCUUGUCCUGGAAUCACUUAGACAUUGCCAUGGCCUUGGCUCAUCCCGGUCCAGAUCUGGAAACGGAUGGUGGUGUCCUUUGUUCAGCUGUGCCGAAAUGCCAACCAAGUACUACUGGGACUAGUUUAGGUGGUUAUUUUCCAAGUUUGAGGAAGAAUGUGCAGGGAAGAAGAGUAGGAAUGGAGGCAUCAAGGACUUUGGUUCUUAAGCUGCUGCUCUGUUAA
rnacentral:lncRNA from 1 species